AACAAACGCUGGCGGCGUGCCUAAUACAUGCAAGUCGAACGGGGAAAGCUUUCGGGUGAGUACUAGUGGCGCACGGGUGAGUAACGCGUGGAUAAUCUGCCUUAGAGGGGGGGAUAACUAGUCGAAAGAUUAGCUAAUACCGCAUAAGACCACAAGAACUGCGGUUCAAGCGGUCAAAGGUUUUUCGCUCUAAGAUGAGUCCGCGUAAGAUUAGCUAGUUGGUGAGGUAACGGCUCACCAAGGCGACGAUCUUUAACUGGUCUGAGAGGAUGAUCAGUCACACUGGAACUGAGACACGGUCCAGACUCCUACGGGAGGCAGCAGUAGGGAAUAUUGCACAAUGGAGGAAACUCUGAUGCAGCGACGCCGCGUGAGUGAUGAAGGCCUUCGGGUCGUAAAGCUCUGUCGCAGGGGAAUAACACAAUGAAUGUACCCUGUAAGAAAGGAUCGGCUAACUUCGUGCCAGCAGCCGCCGUAAGAC
rnacentral:rRNA from 1 species